rnacentral:misc_RNA from 1 species
CAAAUGCGAUACGCAAUGCGAAUUGCAGAAUUCCGCGAGUCAUCAGAUCUUUGAACGCAAAUGGCGCUCGGUUAAACAAUACCCGAGCAUGUUUGUUUCAGUGUGUUCGGAAUCAUAUAUCUAAAUGCGAUUGAAUUUAAACUAUUCUCUCGUUAAAUAAGAAAGCGCUGAAUUGUUCAGUGCCGACCGAUGUAGUCACUUCUUAGCAAGUGAUCUCGGUUGUGCAUAACUGAUAAUUCACUUAAAGCGUCUUUUUAAUAUAUUUAUUAUUCUCCACUCCACACCUGAAAUCAAGCAAGAUCACCCGCUGAGUUUAA